GACGAACCUUGCUAACGUUAUUCGGAAUUACUGGGCGUAAAGGGCUCGUAGGUGGCCAACUAAGUCAGACGUGAAAUCCCUCGGCUUAACCGGGGAACUGCGUCUGAUACUGGAUGGCUUGAGUUCGGGAGAGGGAUGCGGAAUUCCAGGUGUAGCGGUGAAAUGCGUAGAUAUUGGGAGGAACACCAGUGGCGAAGGCGGCUCACUGGACCGGAACUGACGCUGAGGCGCGAAAGCGUGGGGAGCAAACAGG
rnacentral:rRNA from 1 species